rnacentral:piRNA from 1 species
UAGAUGUGUUAGACCAAAUGGGG